rnacentral:rRNA from 1 species
CGGGGGGGCAAGCGUUGUUCGGAAUUACUGGGGCGUAAAGGGCUCGUAGGCGGCCAACUAAGUCGGACGUGAAAUCCCCAGGCUCAACCUGGGAACUGCGUCUGAUACUGGAUGGCUUGAAUCCGGGAGAGGGAUGCAGAAUUCCAGGUGUAGCGGUGAAAUGCGUAGAUAUCUGGAGGAAUACCGGUGGCGAAGGCGGCAUCCUGGACCGGCAUUGACGCUGAGGAGCGAAAGCCAGGGGAGCAAACGGGAUUAGAUACCCCGGUAGUCCUGGCCCUAAACGAUGAAUGCUUGGUGUAACGGGUAUCGAUCCCUGUUGUGCCGAAGCUAACGCAUUAAGCAUUCCGCCUGGGGAGUACGGUCGCAAGGCUG